AUUGAACGCUGGCGGCAUGCUUUACACAUGCAAGUCGAACGGUAACAGGCCUUCGGGUGCUGACGAGUGGCGGACGGGUGAGUAAUGCAUCGGAACGUGCCCAGAGGUGGGGGAUAACGCAGCGAAAGCUGUGCUAAUACCGCAUGUGAUCUGAGGAUGAGAGCGGGGGACCAGGCAGCAAUGUUUGGCCUCGCGCCUUUGUAGCGGCCGAUGUCGGAUUAGGUAGUUGGGGGGGUAAAGGCCUACCAAGCCGACGAUCUGUAGCUGGUCUGAGAGGACGACCAGCCACACUGGGACUGAGACACGGUCCAGACUCCUACGGGAGGCAGCAGUGGGGAAUUUUGGACAAUGGGCGCAAGCCUGAUCCAGCAAUGCCGCGUGAGGGAAGAAGGCCUUCGGGUUGUAAACCGCUUUUGUACGGAACGAAAAGGCUCUGGCUAAUACCUGGGGCUGAUGACGGUACCGUAAGAAUAAGCACCGGCUAACUACGUG
rnacentral:rRNA from 1 species